GACCUCAAAUCAGGUAGGGCUACCCGCUGAACUUAAGCAUAUCAAUAAGCGGAGGAAAAGAAACUAACAAGGAUUCCCCUAGUAACGGCGAGCGAACCGGGAUGAGCUCAAAUUUGAAAUCUGGCGCCCUCCGGACGUCCGAGUUGUAAUCUAUAGAAGCGUUUUCCGUGCCGGACCGUGUCCAAGUCCCUUGGAACAGGGUAUCAAAGAGGGUGACAAUCCCGUACUUGACACGACGACCGGCGCUCUGUGAUACGUUCUCUACGAGUCGAGUUGUUUGGGAAUGCAGCUCAAAACGGGUGGUAAAUUCCAUCUAAAGCUAAAUAUUGGCGAGAGACCGAUAGCGAACAAGUACCGUGAGGGAAAGAUGAAAAGCACUUUGGAAAGAGAGUUAAACAGUAUGUGAAAUUGUUGAAA
rnacentral:rRNA from 1 species